rnacentral:rRNA from 1 species
AUGCGAGAGAAGGAAGCAGUCGCCCUACUCUUUUCCUCCCUCCACCAAUCGCCCUUGCCAUACGACCACCACCAGCGCUGGUCCUUCCCUCCACCAUCCUCCUCUUCAUCUGGCAUGGGGAAUAUGCUCGAGGCUGCUUGUUUGCCUCCCGAAAAUCCAAAUCAGCGAUUCCCUCACGAAUCCCCUUCCAGAAAUCAAGCGCCCAGCAAUCCUUGCCCUCCCCAAGAGCGCAACUCUCGCGUGAUUUCUACCUUCCCAAGUUGUGUAAUAUUUUGCCUCCCCAAUCCCUUAUAUGAGUCGCCUGACAUUUCGAUGGAGCCCCGAUGCAUCGGUAUGUCGGCCGGCUUACUUCAAUCCCAGCGGCGAGGCAGCAACGGGAUCGUCCCUGUCCGUCCAAGAAAAACUUUGCCAACUCGGCAAGGACGCACGCACCAGGAGAGGAGUGUCGUGCCCCUCGCGCGCCUGCGCGUCCCGCCCGGCAGAGACUUAGACACCGGUGAGGUCCUCGCUCCCGGACGCCUCUUCAUUUUCUCCUCCUUCCUCUCCGUGUGCUAUCCCGCUCGCUGCUGCCGCCUAAUGCGACGCCCGAGCGUAGCGCCGCCUCCCCGCCAUGGCUGCCGCCCCUCGCAAGCUUGCGCCGCCGUGGUCCGUGGCUUUGAUGCCGGAGAACUCCUCGCUCUGGCCGACUCUUCAUGUUUUCCUCCUUCAUCUCCACUCAUGCCUCCCGCCUCGCUGCCGCCGCCUGAUGCGGGCGCCCGAGCACAGCGCUGCCUCCCUGCCAUGGCCGCCCCGGCAAGUCAGAAACUUCGCCCGUCCACCCAGAUCGAGCAGGGGGAGGCCGGCGGACGGGAGGAUCGACGCGGGAGGCUUGGUGGUGGCCGGAUCCGGGGCGCGGCGGAGCAGAGGAUGCGGAUCCGGGCAGUGGCGGCCGGAUCCCGUCGGAGUCGUGGCCGGAGGCGGGCGGCGCGGCUGCCGGCGAAGCUCGGGGCGGCCAUGGUGGCACUGCAAUGA